CCUACGGGUGGCAGCAGUGAGGAAUAUUGGUCAAUGGGCGGAAGCCUGAACCAGCCAAGUCGCGUGAGGGAUUAAGGCCCUGCGAGUCGUAACCCUCUUUUGCCGGGGAGCAAAGGUCCGGACGUGUCCGGGCCGGGAGAGUACCCGGAGAAAAAGCAUCGGCUAACUCCGUGCCAGCAGCCGCGGUAAUACGGAGGAUGCGGGCGUUAUCCGGAUUUGUUGGGGUUAAGGGGUGCGUAGGCGGGGAUUUAAGCCGGCGGUCACAUGUCGGGGCUCAACCCCGGCCUGCCGUCGGAACUGGGUGCCUUGAGUGGGCGAGAAGUAUGCGGAAUGCGUGGUGUAGCGGUGAAAUGCAUAGAUAUCACGCAGAACCCCGAUGGCGAAGGCAGCAAACCGGCGCCCUACUGACGCUGAGGCACGAAAGUGCGGGUAGCGAACAGGAUUAGAUACCCGAGUAGUC
rnacentral:rRNA from 1 species